UAAUGUUCCUGUUUCUUUGUUUUUUUUCCCUAGAGGAUUCUCACUGUGAUUGAAAAGGAUUAUUGGAUCAAGGCGGUAAUAAAUACCAAUGUGUAUGUUUAAUGACUUUUGGCUGAUAAAUAAAAAUAAAUGUUUUCUUAUAGCACGCUUGGACUUACACAGAUACGAUUAUAGAUAGCAUGUGCAUACCACGAUAGAUAGCAUGUGCAUAGCAUAAUAGAUAAAAUAUAUAAACAAUGACAGAUAGAAUGUACAUACCAUGAUAGAUAGAAUGUGCAUACCAUUAUAGAUAGAAUGUGCAUACCAUGAUAGAUAGAAUGUACAUACCAUGACAGAUAGAAUGUACAUACCAUGAUAGAUAGAAUGUGCAUAGCAUGAUAGAUAGAAUGUGCAUACCAUUAUAGAUAGAAUGUGCAUACCAUGAUAGAUAGAAUGUACAUAGCAUGAUAGAUAAAAUGUACAUAGCAUGAUAGAAUGUACAUAGCAGGAUAGAUAAAAUGUGCAUACCAUGAUAGAUAGAAUGUGCAUACCAUUAUAGAUAAAAUGUACAUAGCAUGAUAGAUAAAAUGUGCAUACCAUGAUAGAUAGAAUGUGCAUGCUAUGAUAGAUAGAAUGUACAUAGCAUGAUAGAUAGACUGUAUAUACCAUGAUAGAUAGAAUGUGCAUAGCAUGACAUAAAGAAUGUACAUAGCAUGACAGAAUGUACAUAACAUGAUAGAUAGAAUGUGAAUACCAUGAUGGAUAGCAUGGGCAUAGCAUGACAGAUAGAAUGUGCAUAGCAUGAUAGAUAAAAUGUACAUACCAUGAUAGAUAGAAUGUGAAUACCUUGAUAGAUAGAAUGUGCAUACCAUGAUAGAUAGAAUGUACAUAGCAUGACAUAUAGAAUGUACAUACCAUGAUAGAUAGAAUGUAUAUACCAUGAUAGAUAGACUGUGCAUACCAUGAUAGAUAGAAUGUACAUAGCAUGACAUAUAGAAUGUACGUACCAUGAUAGAUAGAAUGUGCAUACCAUGAUGGAUAGCAUGGUCAUAGCAUGACAGAUAGAAUGUGCAUAGCAUGACAUAUAGAAUGUACAUACCAUGAUAGAUAGAAUGUGCAUACCUUGAUGGAUAGCAUGGGCAUAGCAUGACAGAUAGAAUGUGCAUACCAUGACAUAUAGAAUGUACAUACCAUGAUAGAUAGAAUGUGCAUACCUUGAUGGAUAGCAUGGGCAUAUCAUAACAGAUAGAAUGUUAAUAUGAACAACAUGCUUAUCUGCUGUUAACAGAGACUUGAGUUAAGUUUAGAAAAUGAAAAUUAUACGUUACAAGGGAAGGUAAUAUUUGUACUUGGAGCAAACGAUGACUCAUUCGACACUUAAUGAAAAGGAGAAAUAUCCCACCAGCCUUAAAUCAUAUUCCUACUGAAAACUAAUUUGUGUUUUUUACUAAUUCUGGGGAACGCAAUGAAUGCUUUUAUCUUAGAGAACCAAACUCUGUAACAGACACUUACUGUGCUUAAAGCAUUGAGACUCGCGAUCUAUCUUGCUAUACGCUAAUUAUAUUGGAUGUAAGAUUAUUUUAGGAAAUCAUGUUAGCAGAUUAGCAGAUGGCUUAAAGAUUGCUCUUAGGAAAAUAUUAAAAUAUCUAUGUUUAGCAUUUUUUUCAUCAUAUUGUGAUCUUUAAAAUAUAUGCAUAAUUAUUUCAUUUCUGGAAUUUUUAAACUAGUUAUGUAUAAUACUUUUAAAAGUUUUAUUCCUUAAUAUUUCAAACUUUUAGAAACACAAAUACAAAUCUGCAGUCUGUUAUCAGUAGCGAACUCAGUUAUUACGAUUUUUAUAAUUCUAUAUCAUUUGUUACUAUCAGGGAGAAUAUGAAAGAUAUGGAGAAAUGUGCAAAGUUUGGGGGCCGUUUGAAGAUUGAUAACUGCACCUCAAUCAUGCGUUGGAUCUGUGAGACCGAACCAGAGUAACGGAAUUUGUUCCAGAUAAUUCUUUGGGAUAUAAUCAAUAUAUUAGUUAUUUGAAUUCUAUAUCCUAAGAAAGCCAAACUGUGUGAAUGAAAUCCUGGAAAUGUAUCGAUAUUUGGGGAGGGGAAUCCAAGGAACAGAGAGGGACGGAGAGUCAUUAAUUUCUCCGCAGUAAAGAGACAGUAUGGAACUCUGUACAUAAUAAAACAUAUAACAAAUUA
rnacentral:lncRNA from 1 species